ensembl:lncRNA
GUUGAGGUCUGUGGCCUCUGUGCAGCUGGGGGGCACACACAGGUGCUUGUCUGUUGCUCAUGGAUGUAGGUUUAUUCCCAGGCAUUGGCUGUGUUGCGUUGUCCUUCCCUUCUGGAAAGUCACGUGUGUGUGUUCCCAUUCCUUUCCUUGUUGGCGUUUGUAGAGUGACUGAGCAAUUGAGCUUUCCCUUUUAGGUCUCCACAAAAAUGGCUGCAGCUUAGCUUGGACUUCCUAGGGGGGAAUGGAGGACUCAAUGCGUGCUGCAAGGGGGGUGUUCCCUCUUAGUCCCGCGAGCACAGCGAGUGUACUGUCUUGCCCCUUUUUUGUUAGGCCAGAUCAGAGCCUCAUGGUAGUUCUGUGGCUGAGGCCACCCUGUAGCCAGGGCUUGGGCCUGUCCCUGUGUGGCCGCCUGUCUUGCUGGCGAUGUGACAGCCCUGUACUUGGGGUGCGUGUAACAAAGCUGUGGAGCCCCUCUUGUCCCCGGAGCAGCUUGCCCUGCCUGUAACCAGGUCUGGGGUGGCUGCAGUGCUGCAGCUGACUGCUUUAGCCAUUCAGUUGGUGGGAAUGACCCCUCCCUGGCCUGUUGAAGGAUGCAGGUUGAGGUGCUGCUUUGUGGUUGGGGUGAGCUCCCUGCUGUGUGGGUUGUGCCAGGGACACUUCCUGGGCUCCCAAAGAUGUGGUGUUGUGCUGCAGCUGGGCGGACUGGCCUGUACCUCGGGCGUUGGUGGGAGCCACAUCCUUUGGGAGCUCCCUUGGGAUGUUGGGUCCUGGUUUGCUGCAGGUGCUGCUCAGGUCUGAUGGUGACCUCUUUCAUUUUCAGGAGCUGCUGCAGAAGAAAGAAGGAGCAGCAUGUGGAAGUGUGUGAUGUGGGGCCUGAAAGAGAGAACUGGCAGUCUUAUAACAUUAGCUGUUGCUGUGUGGUGUUUCAAGAUAUUCUUGCCUUUUUUUAAUAACUCUUUCCAGCUCUGUACAGCCUUCUACCUUUUUCUUUAUUAAAUGUGUUUUAGUCUCUGUUUGUUAUUUCCCUCUCUGUCCUUCGUCUGUACUUGGUUUUGUUAUUAUUCCAUGGAAGUUACUGGUUUACUAUUGAAUGUUAUUGUUCUUCUGCAAGUAAUCUGGGGCUCUCUUCCUCCUGUCUUGUGAAUAGCAGGUUUUGGUAGCUGAAUGAGGUAUCUCUGCUUGCAGGAUGACUCUUCUCAACUUUGCUCCCAUUGGGUUUUUGCAGUGUUUUUUAUCAGUUGCUGGGUAUUUACUCUGCUGUGAGUGCAGAAGUGGGUGUGCUCAUGGAUGAAUACAUGUUCCUGAUCCCCUUUAAUUGGUAUCUGUGUUAUAUCUGCUGUUGGUUUUUUUUUUUUUCCUAUUCCCUCAUUCCUUCUGUGUUCUUGAUUAUAUUGCACCUUCUGGGAUGAUGGACCUGAUCAUGUUUUCUGGUGUUUUUGUUUCUGAGUAUUCUUUACCUUUAACCAUGCAGGUAGCUCACUUUCUUGGGAUGUGGGGAAAAAAUAUGAUCCCAAGGAAAGAGAUGCUGGAAGGGGGCAGGAAUGGAUCUGCUGGAGGGAAUUCCAGGUCUGCUUGGGGUAGUCCUGGCCUGGAGAACAAAGAAUGGUGCAGGGAAGGCAUUGGGCUGCCUCACCAAGUGAAAACUUAUCAGCACAUGAAUGGUAGCAGCACAUCCAUGGAUAUGUAUAUUCCAAUUGGUACUUACAGGUAG